rnacentral:rRNA from 1 species
GACGUAGGGCGCGAGCGUUGUCCGGAUUUAUUGGGCGUAAAGAGCUCGUAGGCGGUUUGUCGCGUCUGCCGUGAAAGUCCGGGGCUCAACUCCGGAUCUGCGGUGGGUACGGGCAGACUAGAGUGCGGUAGGGGAGACUGGAAUUCCUGGUGUAGCGGUGAAAUGCGCAGAUAUCAGGAGGAACACCGGUGGCGAAGGCGGGUCUCUGGGCAGUAACUGACGCUGAGGAGCGAAAGCGUGGGGAGCGAACAGG